CUUAUGUGAAAAUUGCGAGAGGAUGCCUUCAGCUGUUGAGUGUUUGUGCUGUAACGAGGUGGACACUAUCAAAUACUUACAACUACGAUAAGAAAUGUAUAACAGAGCAUACUAAACAGAGCACGAAGAUGUCAACGCGGUUGUGAUUUUAAAGAACACUUUGUGGACAGCGUUAGUCGCUCUCCACGAUCGGGAAAGCCGUGGACUUAAAAAAUCCCUAGCACUCUUGAAAUUUCUGUUGUCAUAGUAUUUCCAAUCUUAUUAUUUGAGGAUGAUAUUUUUAGAUCUUAUCGAUAUGCGGCAUACCGCCAAUUCUGUUGGUUUGUUCAUAACCACUUGGGAAAAGGCGUUCGUCGGGUUAUACCAUCUUGUUUCGUGUCUAAGAUACGUAGAGAAUAUCCAAGUACCAAUAGGAUGUAUACUGGCUUCAAAGAAGAUGAAGAAAUAUCUCAAAUUGAUUUUUCUCGGACAAAUGAAGUUGACGAUGAGAAUAUUUGAUUGUAAAUUAAAAACAACAGUCUUUUGCAGGAGAGGCGUUCGAUCGCACGCGCACGUCGUGGCACACGCGUAAAUCGUUUCAGGCGUGCGAUUAAUUAAACGCCUGAAAAAUUAAUAAUGAGUUUUAGAAAUCAAUCCUAUAAAAUCCCAUUUUACAGCAAGCGAUGGCAGCCUUCGAAAUAAUUUUUGGAGUCUCGUCAGACUUUCGUCGGACAAAACGUUGAUAGAUUUCCGUCUUCGCCGAACACUUUUAGAUCUCAGAAUUAUCGAAUAGUCCUGGUCAUUUUCAUCCACGAGCAAGCCUAUUCAUAGCCAACCUGACCAUCCUAGCUAAUUCACCAACUCCUGACUUAGCUAAAAGAACUACGUAGACAUGAAUGUCUUUUGCCUGGCCCCUUCGUCGUUGGUAACCAGGUCUUACACAAGAAAUCCAGCCAUGCGGUUCUUAACUUAUGCGGAGGUGAACACCGACGGAGCACGGAUGAAUCAAGUCUGCAAAACUGCACUUACGGGCGGAACAGACAUUUUAUCAUGGAUUUAAGUGUAGAUAAUUUCUUCAUUUGACAAAACAAUUGGAAACCAUAGCUGGUCCGAA